UACGUAGGGUGCAAGCGUUGUCCGGAAUUAUUGGGCGUAAAGAGCUCGUAGGCGGUCUGUCGCGUCUGCUGUGAAAACUCGGGGCUUAACCCCGGGCCUGCAGUGGGUACGGGCAGACUAGAGUGCGGUAGGGGAGACUGGAAUUCCUGGUGUAGCGGUGAAAUGCGCAGAUAUCAGGAGGAACACCGGUGGCGAAGGCGGGUCUCUGGGACGUUACUGACGCUGAGACGCGAAAGCGUGGGGAGCAAACAGG
rnacentral:rRNA from 1 species